rnacentral:rRNA from 1 species
UACAGAGGGGGCAAGCGUUAUUCGGAAUUAUUGGGCGUAAAGGGCGCGUAGGCGGCCAUUCAAGUGACGGGUGAAAGCCCUCGGCUUAACCGAGGAACUGCCUGUCAGACUGGAUGGCUUGAGACCGGGAGAGGUGAGUGGAAUUCCCAGUGUAGCGGUGAAAUGCGUAGAUAUUGGGAGGAACACCAGUGGCGAAGGCGGCUCGCUGGGCCAUUCCUGACGCUGAGACGCGAAAGCUAGGGGAGCGAACAGG